CAUCAAAGAUGCCAGACAUGACCUUGGGGUGCUUCUCCUUGAGCUGACGAACGCCGCUCACCAAUUUCUUGGUGUCUCUGGGAACUUUGGUGUUCGUGAUAAGCAUUUGCAGCGAGGCCAGGUUUGUGAGCACUUCUCUCUUGUCAUUCUUCAUCUUGACAACGUUUUCUGCCAAGAUCAUGAUCUUGUGUAAACGAAGAAAAGAAAAGCAAGAACUACCGAAGGUACACACUGUAUUGUCGAUCCCGGAUGGAUUUCCAUGGAUGAUCUUCUCUGCCUCGAAAGCCCAGCUGCUGAUGAGCCGUGCGUCGUCCUCGCAAACGCCGAUCCAAUUGCUCCCCUCAAGCUUCCCAUCCUUUUGGGGACGAGCGAAAGCCAGGAGCGAGGCAGCCACUGAGACUGCUAGAGCUGCCGAGGAUCCAAGCCCGCAAGACAUGGGAAUGGGAGUAGUCUUACGCUGGAAAGAGGAUUCGAACCUCUGACCUUGUGGUUAACAGCCACACGCUCUAGCUAGUCCAGCUUAUAUUAAUGAUAAAGAACUUAAAUAAUAAAUAGUUAAAUUUAUUAACGCGCGAUCUCAACGCUCAUCACAUGCCUAUAGCUCAGCUGCAAAUUAUAUUUUGAUCGAGCCUGACGGACGCGUUCACGAGCAAGUCAGCAUUGAGCUUCAUCGUUGUACUUCUCGUGCGCUCUUCCAUGUCGAUCCCGCCCGGGUUAGCAGCAUGCCAAUUAAAUGCCUGGAGCAAACUGGCCACGUAAAACGCGAUCGAUCUCAUCGCCAGUGGAUAGCCGGCACAUACUCUCCUGCCCGAUGAGAAUGGGAUGAAAUCAAAGUUCUGCCCGUUGAUGGCGCUGCUGGAGCCGAGAAGACGCUCCGGCUGGAACGUUCCUGGGUCGGACCAGCGAGUGGGAUCGCGUCCGAUGGCCCAUAUGUUGACGAGAACCUUGCAGCCGCCGGGGAUGGUGUAGCCGCCCAGGUUGACGGGCUUGAGAUUCUUGUGAGGAACUCCCAGUGGGGCCGCCGGGUGGAGACGCAGUGAUUCCUUGACAAUGGCAUCGAUGUAUGGAAGGUUUGGAAGAUCGGACUCUUGCACCGCGCGAGCUCUCCCUACAACGCUGUCCAGUUCGGCUUGAGCCUUGGACACGACUCGGGGAUGGCUUAUGAGCUCCGCCAUUGUCCACUCGAGCGUCACUUGUGAAGUUUCCAACCCUGCAACAACCAGGUCCUGUCGCAAGAAGUGAAAAAAACCAAUAUCACGAUGCUGGUAAAACUUACCACGAGCAGUGCCAAAAUGGAAAUGUCUGGCAAUUUAUCCUUGUCCUCGAGAGAUAUAAGAACGUCAGUGAAGUCUCGAGGGACGAACCCGUCCCCAGCUUGAUCUUUUCUGCGUCGAUGCUUGUCGACUUGAUCUUCCAGCAAGAGCUUCAGGCGAGGCAUGAGCUCCCUGUUGAGUUUCUUGUAGAUUCCAUGGAGAUCCAGCCCGUCAAGUGCCGGAAGCAGGGCACCGAUGUUCAGGUGCAAGCUUAGAGAUGCUAUCUUCUGGCUGAGAUCCAUAACCUCCAGCCCCCGCUCGCUAAAAAGAACCAGGCAUAGCGAAUUCGACAAGAGACUACUGAAAACCUCUUGCAAAUUGAUCGUUGUCUCGGAUUGCUGGAAAAUGGACUUGACUGUAUGCUUCAUCUCCGACUCCCGGAAUCCUGCGCUUACCUUGAGCAUACUGUUGCUAAACAGGUGUGUGCUGCAAAUCCUCCUCAUGGUCUUCCACUUAUCACCUAUAGGCCCGAGGAUGAGACCGUUCCAGUUGUGGCUGACGAUCCGAAAGAACUCGUCGUCCGGCCGGCUUGCAAACUCGAGAUCGUGGGUCUUAAGAACCUGUGCGGCCAUUUCGUUGUUGUUCACCACCACGAACGGGGCCAUUCCGAUCUUGAGGUAGACGAUCGGCCCAUACUUCUUGCUGAUCUUUGCAAAGUGCUGGUGGAGUGGCUCCUCGAGGGAGAAGAGCGCUCCAAAAAUGGGGAAAGAGAAUGGACCUGGAGGGAGGCGCCGUUGUUGCGAUGAUCGAAUUCUCCGUAUGAGGAGUGAUAGUGUGAUCCAGGCGAUGCCCAGGACAAACAAAGCCACACCUAAGUCCAUCGCUUCAAAGGUCUGAAUCUCCACGGCCAUGGCCAUAUUGUAGAGAACUUGACAGGAUCAAAGAAGACCCCCGGUGGGCGGGGUUCGCAAGGCUGCCGUCUCUGUUGGAUGGCCCCGUGGCAUGCAUGAUCCCAUAAAAAACUCGCAGUAGCAGUAGUAGCCGCCCACAUGGUUUAAAACUUAUAGGAGAAUAUAUUUGAAUAUUUUAGAAUAUUUUACUAUCUAACGGUUGUUAUUCAUUUAAAUUAAUCUUGUAUUUAUAAUUUAUAAACAUGUUUAUAAUUUAUGAACUUUCUUAAACCCUUUCUAGUAUAUUCUUUUUAUUCUAUCAUAUACAAUAAGAUUAAUCUUGUGUUUAUAAAUUACAAACAUGUUUAUAAUUACAAACUUUAUUUAAUCAAUUGGAUUAACAAGUAAGAAUAACACUAUUAUUAAGCAAACCAAGUGUUGCUAAAUAAUUUUUUAAUAAUACUAGUCAAAAACUUUUUACAAGAGGUCGAAGAGGUCUAUAUGGCCAAUCUCCCAUAUAGAAACUCGAACGCCCGCGGAAACACUCUCUUCUAGCCUGGAAGAAAUGCUCUUGGCGGUGGGGACGUAGACCCUGUGCUUGUUUUGAUCCUUAAAGUAGUGCACCGAAUCCCGGGAUCAGAAGCUCCAAGAAUUGGUCGCCAACAAUAGCUCCAUGAAAAGUAGGGUUAACAAAUAGGAAUCUCCUACCCGACGAGAAUGGAAUGAAAUCGAAGUGGCAGGGAUAGCGCUGCUGGAGCUGAGAAAACGCUCUGGCUGGAACGCUUCUGGGUGAGUGGAAUUGCGUCCGCGGCCAUGGCCAUAGUUGACAUGCAUCGUGAUUCCUCAGAUGGUUUGGAUUUUUAAUGAUACCACGCAAGACAUUUUUACAAGAGGUCGAAGAAAUGCUCCAAGCCUUGGCCAAUCUCCCAUAUAGAAACUCCAACACCCGCGGAAACACUCUCUUCUAGCCUCGAAGUAACGCUCUUGGCAGUGGGGAAGUAGACCCUGUGCUUGUUUUGAUCCUUGGAGUAAUCAAAGUAAUGCUCUCGGUUCAUCGAAUCCCAUACGAGCUUGGGAGUGUACUCUUUGAGAAGCUCCAAGAAUUGGUCGCCAACAAUAGCUCCACCACCUAGAAUGAAACUAGCGUUAAGAAAGUGUUUCGAGCAAGAAGCUCUAGCAUACCUCGCGGAAGAACGUAGUCGUUUCCAUAGAAGUUUAUUCCCAUCAGGAUCUUGGAAGAGACCUCGUUGGAUUUCCCUGCGAGUAAAGAGUUGAGGCAGGAGCGUAUCCAGGGAAGCGGUGCGUUCGGGCCUGGACGAUAAGCGUUUGAGAAAUCGUAAGUCAUGAGCGAGAAGCCAUCGACGGCGUGUUGCAAAGAAUGGAGGUCCCCUCGCGUGAACUCUUCCGGACCUCCUCCACGCUCGGGUGGUAUAACGAGCACGAGUUGCAAUGGACGGGUGGCGCUGGCAGCGUUGAGCUUGUGUAAGGACGAGCCAAGUUCUCGGAUAAAUGCUAGAGCCUGUAGAUUUCUUGUUGUCAGACAAUGUUCUUGAAAUUGUUUCUUACAAACCUUUUCACGUAAACGAUGGUUCUCGAGUAUUCUGUAAGAAGCCCAGGAAUUCCACGCUUCCAGCACGAUGCCAUCGUAAGCUUGCUCCCUAAGAGAAAAUCACAAAAAAAGAAAAAGAUGAAAGACUCACGUACUUGCACUCUUCGAGGAUUAGCUUGAUUGCCUUUUGCUUCUCGUCUGCACUCACAAGCAUGCUGUCUAAGGACCAGCCUUCAAGCACCACACGCGGAACAAUCUGCGCGAAAUGGUCACUGAAAGAAGUAACUAUCAUAAGAAUCACAAGACCAAAAACUUGAUAGAUACACAUAAAAACUAUAAGAUCAUACCAGUGGAAAUCCCUGCUUUCGCACUUCGGAAAUCCAUCCUUGAUCCACAUCAUGCUUGCCCGCUAAACUCAUGCCUUUGUCAUCUCUACAGAAUUUACAGAACAAUCAACUUACACAACAGUGAGGAGCAAAGCCUACCUUCUUAGCUGAUACCACACAGGAGAAACAUGAGUGAGCUUGUGCCGGAAUUUUUUUGCCAUAUCAUAUCCUUUGGAAUUCCUGCGACAAAAGAUCAUCCAUGAGAAGAAAGAAAGAAGAACAAUCAAUCAAGAACUAACCAUGGCGUGACAUAGGCGAGAACAGUGCCAUUCAGCUUUCUCUUAGCUCCAACACGCGGAGCUCGCGAUGCUGCCUGAGGAAAAUGGAGAAAAUCAAAGCGAUGGAUGAAGAAAACAUGGAGAAAUCGAUUUAGCAUACCUUCAAGAUAUCUCUGUAGAACAGAUCCUCACCUCCUCCCAAAGAACUAGCGAGUGGAUCUCUAGAAUAAUGGAAAUACCACGCUAAGAAGAAGAAAACAAGCACCAAGGCCAAAAUGCCGUGCUUGAACCGCGAUCCAGUGCUUUGCUGGGAAUCUCCAGCCUUCUCAAGAGCAUUGGAGCCUGGUCUACGAGCCUGGCGCUCACCGCUGCUGUGCCGGCGCCUCUGCUGAGCCAUCUGGCAAGGAUGCCCUAAUUCCAAUGCGGAGGUUUUUGUUAGGGUUUAUCGCCCAUGGCUAUGGAGGACGGUGGCGCGCUGCUCGUUUCUCCUCCUUGGAAGCAAAUGGAGGUAACUCGAGGCUCGAUCCUGACAAAGCGCUGUGGAUUGACACGAUUUGAUGCAUCAGGAGUAUUAUUCUCAGCUGACCGGUGCCGCAUUGCGCGUGAAAUCUACCGCGACGAUGGGGAAAGGUAUCGCUGUGCUUGUUUCUCUCGCGAAUUCUAGCUUUGGAGAUCUUGCAGGCCUCUUUGCCGAGAGAGAUUUUGACGCGGAAGAGGUGAUCUUGAUCGAAGAGCCUCUCGUUGCUGCACAGCACAGCCAUAACAAGGUAUUUGAUUGGAAUUGUUUUGCUUUACGAGUUCUUGUUCUUGUUCUUGUUCAUUCAUGGACAGAACGAUGCGGUUGUGUGUGGCUUUUGCUUUCGCUACGUCGGUUCCAUCCAGCUCCAAAUACAACGCAAACUUGAAGCUCCAGAGACUCACUCGUGCUGCUAUCACGAAGACGAAGAUGAAGAAGAAGACCACCACCGGCAUGGUGUUUCUUCGGAGGAAGCUUUAGCUCUUCUAAAAGGUGAUGGUUUCUCUCUUCCUCAUGGAGACAAGUUUUUGCUACCGGAGGUAGUCAAGUGCUCUGGUGGAUGCUCGGAGAUUUACUGCAGGUAAGUUUGUGAAUGCGCUGCGACUUCCUUCUCAUAACUCUUGCUUGCUUCCUUUUGCGAGUAGCAAAUCGUGUGCACAAAGGGCCUGGCAUGAUCACCACUCGUUGCUUUGCAAUGGUGUUUCACAACACAGGGACGAGCUUGUUCUUUUCAAAGAAUUUGCUGAUGGUAAACUGCUGUUCUCUACUCGUCCUGACUUUCAUCCUCUCCAGAAACCAACGACAUUUUCCAUUUGGCCAGCAAGGUAGCCUUCGCUUGUUUCUUUGUUUUGCGACUAUGUUUUACGUUCUCUGUGCAGUUGAUUGCGAAGGUUAUGCUUCGCACGAAAAAGCUUUCUGAAAGCAGUGGAGUUACAGACCGAAAUACACUCCUUGAGGCGUGGAAACCAUUUGCCAUGGGAGAAAAGCGUCUGUAAGUACGCUUUUCGCUUCGUAAGAGUUUAAUUUCGCCAAGUUCAGGUGGUGGGAAGCCGUGGCUCUUCCAGACGACGUUGAUCCUUUAGAAGAAGCAUCUUUCAGGAGCCAAAUCAAGGAAGUAGCGGAAGCAGUAAGUUCCAAAGCAUAACGAUUAUGUACACUAACAUGUUCAUGUUUUUUCUAGUCCUUGAGCCAGCUCAAAGCUGCGCUGUGGGAGCCGGAGUUUGCACCUCGUAUCCUAAACCUUUGUUUCUUUUGGCGUUUUCUUUGACACCACCAGUUUUUUCUUUGGAGAUUUAUGGGAGCAUCAUCGGCAUGUUCGAGCUAAACAACCUGUAAGCCAUCUCUGUCGUUGAGAAUCUCGAGUCACACGGCUUUUUCCAGAGAUGUCGUCGUCGCCUCACCCGUUGAAAACUACUUUCUCUACAUUCAAGAUCUUGAGCCAGCUCUCAAGGUAACUAGAAGAUAACAUGGAUGGACUAGUGCCACGUCUUUGAAUCACAGGAACAAACAGAACAAAUUACUCGACCACUGUUUGGGCUUUGGGCGAGAAGUACGCUUCCUUCUGCCAAGGUGGGUUUAACGUCCAGAACUAUUCGUGGAAUUUGAAUGUACUUCCAGGUUCUGGGUUUUUCGCAUUGCACAGCUGCAUAAACCACUCUUGCGAGCCGAAUGCGAAAGCUUUUAAGCGAGAUGAGGUCUGUUUUGUAGAGAGGAUAGACCACAAUUUGACUCGAGUUUUUUUCAGGACAUAAAUGGCAAUGCUGUGAUAAUUGCGACGAGGAAGAUCAUGAAAGGAGAACAGGUGAAUCAAAUCUUUCUUUCUUGUUUUCACUCAAAAUGGUUUUCAGAUUUUCACCUCAUACAUCGAGGAGGAAGAUUUAUCGUACACCGAGAGACAAGCAAUGCUGUCGGACUACGGCUUCGCGUGCGAAUGUACCAAGUGCUUCAGGGAGAAAAACCAGUCUUAAAUCGGGCAAACCUUUGAUGCUAUUGCAAAAUCUGGACUCCUUGAACACCAACUUCUGCUUGUAAGCAUUCAAACCCAGAGCUGUUUAGAUCGUCGCUCACUUGUUCCAAGACCUUUGGAGACAGUCCUGCACGAGCGAGCGAGGGUUAGGAGAAGAACAUAAAGAAGACUUGAGAAAAGCUUUCUACCUCUUGGAAGUAAAGUGAUCACGCAGCCGCCACCUCCUCCUCCGGUGAGCUUGGAUUUCAAGCCGUACUUGGCUGUGAUCUUGCAAAUCUUCUCAAUGGACGCAUGGCUCACUCCAAUCGUUCCAAGAAGACCUUGGUUCAAAACGACGAGCUCCUCCAGCUUUUCCUGCUGGGACUGAUCCUGCGAAGCACGUAAACGAGUGAAUUCUCCGCUGGGGAGACGCGAAAGUCUUGCUUACAGUCGCGGGCUGUGACUGGAGGAUCCCGAGAAAGUCUUCCGAGAUGGAAUCGAUAACAUCAAAGAUGCCAGACAUGACCUUGGGGUGCUUCUCCUUGAGCUGACGAACGCCGCUCACCAAUUUCUUGGUGUCUCUGGGAACUUUGGUGUUCGUGAUAAGCAUUUGCAGCGAGGCCAGGUUUGUGAGCACUUCUCUCUUGUCAUUCUUCAUCUUGACAACGUUUCCUGCCAAGAUCAUGAUCUUGUGUAAACGAAGAAAAGAAAAGCAAGAACUACCGAAAGUACACACUGUAUUGUCGAUCCCGGAUGGAUUUCCAUGGAUGAUCUUCUCUGCCUCGAAAGCCCAGCUGCUGAUGAGCCGUGCGUCGUCCUCGCAAACGCCGAUCCAAUUGCUCCCAGCAAGUUUCCCAUCCUUUUGGGGACGAGCGAAAGCGAGGAGCGAGGCAGCCACUGAGACUGCUAGAGCUGCCGAGGAUCCAAGCCCGCAAGACAUGGGAAUCUCCGACUCGAUCGUCAAGACCACCGGCUUCAACCUGGAAGAACCUCUGGCUCCUGUCAAAGAGAAGAAAAAACCAUCUUUCC
rnacentral:lncRNA from 1 species